rnacentral:rRNA from 1 species
AGAACGAACGCUGGCGGCACGCCUAACACAUGCAAGUCGAGCGCCCAGCAAUGGGAGCGGCGGACGGGUGAGUAACACGUGGGAAUAUGCCUUUCGGUACGGAACAACUCAGGGAAACUUGAGCUAAUGCCGUAUACGCCCUUACGGGGAAAGAUUUAUCGCCGAAAGAUUAGCCCGCGUCUGAUUAGCUAGUUGGUGAGGUAAUGGCUCACCAAGGCUUCGAUCAGUAGCUGGUUUGAGAGAACGACCAGCCACACUGGGACUGAGACACGGCCCAGACUCCUACGGGAGGCAGCAGUGGGGAAUCUUGGACAAUGGGGGAAACCCUGAUCCAGCGAUGCCGCGUGAGUGAUGAAGGCCUUCGGGUUGUAAAACUCUUUCGACGGGGACGAGUAAUGACGGUACCGUAGAAGAAGCUCCGGCUAACUUCGUGCCAGCAGCCGC